rnacentral:snRNA from 1 species
AUGCAACUUCACAUAAUAUUUGC